UUUUUUUGGCAUCGUAUAAUUCGAAAACACAAAAAAAAAUUAUUUUUAUUAUUUUUUAUUUUUAUUUAAAUAAUAAUUUAUUAUAGAGAAAUUCCCUAGGAUAAACUUAAAUUUUUUUUAUCACAAAUAUAGACUCCAAAUAUCAAAAUGACCAAAAUGUUUUAUUAAGGGUAUAUUUUUGGGUUUAAGAUUUAGGGUUUAGGGUUUAGAGUUAAGGGGUGCGGUUUCGGGGGUAUGAUUUCAAAUUUUAAAAACUAAAAAAAUAUUAAAAUUUUCAAAAUAAAAAACUCUAUUUUGGUCAUUUUGUUUUUUAAGGUCUAUUUUUGUGACAUAAACUUAAAAAAUGUCUAUUUGAGAGAAUUAUCCUUUAUUAUAUAGGAAAAAUCACAUUUUAAACCCUGAGAGUGUCAUAUUCUAACACUUUAAACACUGAACAUUUUUGACUAGCACUUUAAGCUUUGAAAGUGAUAUUUUUAUCAUAACAAACCUCCAAGUCAACUAAGUGACCUGUACUGUUCAUUUUUUUAUGACGUGUCGGUUUUGUUUUUUAAAUAAAAAAUAAAAUACAUAGAAAAUUCGAAAAAAAUACGAAAAAACAAAACAAAUUUAAAAAUUAAAAAAUAUAUAGAAAACAACUUUUCAAAAUAAAAAUAAAAUAAAUAUUUUUAAGAUUAAUCCAAUAAAUAUAUAUAAUAUAAUAAUUUGAACGGUGAUUCUAGAUUCUGGUUUUUGAUUUUUUAAUUUUUUUUUUAUUUAUUAAUACUUAACUUAUUAAAUUUUCAACACUAAUCCUAUUAUUGGUAUUAUUUAUCAAAAUGAUA
rnacentral:lncRNA from 1 species